rnacentral:rRNA from 1 species
UACGUAGGGGGCGAGCGUUGUCCGGAUUCAUUGGGCGUAAAGAGCUCGUAGGCGGCUCGUUGCGUCGGCUGUGAAAACCCGCAGCUCAACUGUGGGCUUGCAGCUGAUACGGGCGGGCUGGAGUUCGGUAGGGGAGACUGGAAUUCCUGGUGUAGCGGUGAAAUGCGCAGAUAUCAGGAGGAACACCGGUGGCGAAGGCGGGUCUCUGGGCCGAUACUGACGCUGAGGAGCGAAAGCGUGGGGAGCGAACAGG